GACGAACGUUGGCGGCGUGCUUAACACAUGCAAGUCGAACGGAAAGGCCCUGCUUUUGUGGGGUGCUCGAGUGGCGAACGGGUGAGUAACACGUGAGUAACCUGCCCUUGACUUUGGGAUAACUUCAGGAAACUGGGGCUAAUACCGGAUAGGAGCUCCUGCUGCAUGGUGGGGGUUGGAAAGUUUCGGCGGUUGGGGAUGGACUCGCGGCUUAUCAGCUUGUUGGUGGGGUAGUGGCUUACCAAGGCUUUGACGGGUAGCCGGCCUGAGAGGGUGACCGGCCACAUUGGGACUGAGAUACGGCCCAGACUCCUACGGGAGGCAGCAGUGGGGAAUAUUGCACAAUGGGCGGAAGCCUGAUGCAGCAACGCCGCGUGCGGGAUGACGGCCUUCGGGUUGUAAACCGCUUUCGCCUGUGACGAAGCGUGAGUGACGGUAAUGGGUAAAGAAGCACCGGCUAACUACGUGCCAGCAGCCGCGGUGAUACGUAGGGUGCGAGCGUUGUCCGGAUUUAUUGGGCGUAAAGGGCUCGUAGGUGGUUGAUCGCGUCGGAAGUGUAAUCUUGGGGCUUAACCCUGAGCGUGCUUUCGAUACGGGUUGACUUGAGGAAGGUAGGGGAGAAUGGAAUUCCUGGUGGAGCGGUGGAAUGCGCAGAUAUCAGGAGGAACACCAGUGGCGAAGGCGGUUCUCUGGGCCUUUCCUGACGCUGAGGAGCGAAAGCGUGGGGAGCGAACAGGCUUAGAUACCCUGGUAGUCCACGCUGUAAACGGUGGGUACUAGGUGUGGGGUCCAUUCCACGGGUUCCGUGCCGUAGCUAACGCUUUAAGUACCCCGCCUGGGGAGUACGGCCGCAAGGCUAAAACUCAAAGGAAUUGACGGGGCCCCGCACAAGCGGCGGAGCAUGCGGAUUAAUUCGAUGCAACGCGUAGAACCUUACCUGGGUUUGACAUGGAUCGGGAGUGCUCAGAGAUGGGUGUGCCUCUUUUGGGGUCGGUUCACAGGUGGUGCAUGGCUGUCGUCAGCUCGUGUCGUGAGAUGUUGGGUUAAGUCCCGCAACGAGCGCAACCCUUAUUCACUGUUGCCAGCACGUUAUGGUGGGGACUCAGUGGAGACCGCCGGGGUCAACUCGGAGGAAGGUGGGGAUGACGUCAAGUCAUCAUGCCCCUUAUGUCCAGGGCUUCACGCAUGCUACAAUGGCUGGUACAGAGAGUGGCGAGCCUGUGAGGGUGAGCGAAUCUCGGAAAGCCGGUCUCAGUUCGGAUUGGGGUCUGCAACUCGACCUCAUGAAGUCGGAGUCGCUAGUAAUCGCAGAUCAGCAACGCUGCGGUGAAUACGUUCCCGGG
rnacentral:rRNA from 1 species